rnacentral:rRNA from 1 species
UUGAGAGCGGCGUACGGGUGCGGAACACGUGUGCAACUGCCUUUAUCUGGGGGAUAGCCUUUCGAAAGGAAGAUUAAUACCCCAUAAUAUGUUGAAUGGCAUCAUUCGACAUUGAAAACUCCGGUGGAUAGAGAUGGGCACGCGCAAGAUUAGAUGGUUGGUGAGGUAACGGCUCACCAAGUCUACGAUCUUUAGGGGGCCUGAGAGGGUGAUCCCCCACACUGGUACUGAGACACGGACCAGACUCCUACGGGAGGCAGCAGUGAGGAAUAUUGGACAAUGGGUGAGAGCCUGAUCCAGCCAUCCCGCGCGAAGGACGACUGCCCUAUGGGUUGUAAACUUCUUUUGUAUAGGGAUAAACCUACCCUCGUGAGGGUAGCUGAAGGUACUAUACGACUGAGCACCGGCUAACUCCGUGCCAGCAGCCGCGGUAAUACGGAGGGUGCAAGCGGUAAUCCGGAUUCAUUGGGUUUACAGGGGUCCGUAAGGCGGGAUCUGUAAGUUCAAGUGGGNUUGGAAUUCCUUCNCAACAAGGUUUUAAACUUUGGUGAAAAAUUUGGGCCCAUUGGAUUACUUGGACAGGGUNCUUUGGAAGUUGGU